rnacentral:pre_miRNA from 8 species
AGCUGAUUUUUGGCAUAAUCUCAGCUGGCAACUGUGAGUAGUGUUUUCAUCCCUCUCACAGGCGCUGCUGGGGUUCUGUCACACACAGCA